UACGAAGGGGGCUAGCGUUGUUCGGAAUUACUGGGCGUAAAGCGCGCGCAGGCGGCUAUCCAAGUCAGUGGUGAAAGCCCGGAGCUCAACUCCGGAACUGCCAUUGAAACUGUUUAGCUUGAGGAUGAGAGAGGUGAGUGGAAUUCCCAGUGUAGAGGUGAAAUUCGUAGAUAUCGUGAGGAACACCAGAGGCGAAGGCGGCUACCUGGACAAUUGCUGACGCUCAGGCACGAAAGCGUGGGGAGCAAAAGGG
rnacentral:rRNA from 1 species